GAUGAACGCUGGCGGCGUGCUUAACACAUGCAAGUCGAACGAAGCACCUUGAUUCGAUUCUUCGGAUGAAGAUCUUGGUGACUGAGUGGCGGACGGGUGAGUAACGCGUGGGUAACCUGCCUCAUACAGGGGGAUAACAGUUAGAAAUGACUGCUAAUACCGCAUAAGACCACAGCACCGCAUGGUGCAGGGGUAAAAACUCCGGUGGUAUGAGAUGGACCCGCGUCUGAUUAGGUAGUUGGUGGGGUAACGGCCUACCAAGCCGACGAUCAGUAGCCGAUCUGAGAGGGUGACCGGCCACAUUGGGACUGAGACACGGCCCAAACUCCUACGGGAGGCAGCAGUGGGGAAUAUUGCACAAUGGGGGAAACCCUGAUGCAGCGACGCCGCGUGAGCGAUGAAGUAUUUCGGUAUGUAAAGCUCUAUCAGCAGGGAAGAAAAUGACGGUACCUGACUAAGAAGCACCGGCUAAAUACGUG
rnacentral:rRNA from 1 species